AACGAACGCUGGCGGCGUGCCUAACACAUGCAAGUCGAGCGCGAAUGGAGCAAUCCUAGUAGAGCGGCGCACGGGUGCGUAACACGUGGGUAAUCUGCCUCAAAGCCCGGGAUAACCUGCCGAAAGGCAAGCUAAUACCGGAUAAGCCUACGGACUCUUCGGGGUCUGAAGGAAAAGGUGGCCUCUGUAUACAAGCUAUCACUUUGAGAUGAGCCCGCGGCCCAUCAGCUCGUUGGCGGGGUAACGGACCCGACCAAGGCGAACGACGGGUAGGCUGGUCGUGAGAGGACGAUCAGCCACACUGGAACUGAGACACGGUCCGAGACUCCUACCGGGAGGCAGCAGUGGGGAAGUUUUGUCGCAAUGGGCGAAAGACCUGACGCAGCAACGCCGCGUGUGUGA
rnacentral:rRNA from 1 species